GUAGUCAUAUGCUUGUCUCAAAGAUUAAGCCAUGCAUGUCUAAGUAUAAGCAAUUAUACCGUGAAACUGCGAAUGGCUCAUUAAAUCAGUUAUCGUUUAUUUGAUAGUACCUUACUACUUGGAUAACCGUGGUAAUUCUAGAGCUAAUACAUGCUAAAAACCCCAACUUCGGGAGGGGUGUAUUUAUUAGAUAAAAAACCAAUGCCCUUCGGGGCUCCUUGGUGAUUCAUGAUAACUUCUCAGAUCGCAUGGCUUUACGCCGGCGACGGUUCAUUCAAAUUUCUGCCCUAUCAACUUUCGAUGGUAAGGUAUUGGCUUACCAUGGUUUCAACGGGUAACGGGGAAUUAGGGUUCGAUUCCGGAGAGGGAGCCUGAGAAACGGCUACCACAUCCAAGGAAGGCAGCAGGCGCGCAAAUUACCCAAUUCCGAUACGGAGAGGUAGUGACAAUAAAUACUGAUACAGGGCUCUUUUGGGUCUUGUAAUUGGAAUGAGUACAAUUUAAACCUCUUAACGAGGAACAAUUGGAGGGCAAGUCUGGUGCCAGCAGCC
rnacentral:rRNA from 1 species